rnacentral:lncRNA from 1 species
CCAAACCUUUUUACUUUUUCCUCAAAACUUUACUCCUUCCCACUUUCCCCCCAAAACUUUUACUCCCCUCCCUUUCCAACCCCCCAAUCUACCCAAAAUCCAUUUCCCACCAAAAUUUUACUCUCCCAUUUAUUUUUUCUCAAAAUUUUACUUCCCAAAACCCUCAAAACCUUUUAUUUUCCCCCCAAAUUUUUACUCCGUCCCACUUUUCCCCUAAAACUUUUAUUCUCUUCCCAUCCCACCUCCCGUUUAUCCCAAACCCUCCCCCCUCUAAUUUUUUUUUUAUAUUUUCCCUCCAAAAUUUUACUCCCCCCUAUUUACUUUCCCUCAAACUUUUAUUCCCCAAAACUUUUUAUUUUU